CAGUCCCACGGUAAUACGUAGGUGGCAAGCGUUGUCCGGAAUUAUUGGGCGUAAAGGGCUCGCAGGCGGUUUCUUAAGUCUGAUGUGAAAGCCCCCGGCUCAACCGGGGAGGGUCAUUGGAAACUGGGAAACUUGAGUGCAGAAGAGGAGAGUGGAAUUCCACGUGUAGCGGUGAAAUGCGUAGAGAUGUGGAGGAACACCAGUGGCGAAGGCGACUCGCUGGUCUGUAACUGACGCUGAGGAGCGAAAGCGUGGGGAGCGAACAGGAUUAGAUACCCGCGUAGUCCCUGUCUCUUAUACC
rnacentral:rRNA from 1 species